CGUUCUCAAUCUUGUCUUUCGAAGUCUCUCCGAAUCAAACUCUUGCCUUCUCUAUCAGAAUCGACACGAAGUCUUCUGUAUGCGAUCGCCACGGAGGUGUUGUGGUUGUUCACAGAUCAGAACUCGUUGUCGAGUGGUGCGAGAAUGAUGAAGAUGAAUGUCGUUGAAGCCAGCAAGAACGAUUGUGCAGGUUCCGUGAAGGAGCAAUAUUCGUUUUCUUUUUUGUAAUCGUUGAAGAAUCAUGAAGGUGACUGUGGUUGAUGAUUCGUUGAAGAACUGCUACGAGGAUGAUGAAGAGUUGAUUCGAAGGAUUUUGGAAGAUGAAUGAAAUUGAGAGAAGAUUGAAGAUGUGUUCUGAGAACUGAUUUUUGUGAAGAAUUGGAUGAAGGUUGAUGUUGA